CACGUAGGGUGCGAGCGUUGUCCGGAAUUAUUGGGCGUAAAGAGCUCGUAGGCGGUGUGUCGCGUCGGCCGUGAAAACCUGCAGCUUAACUGUGGGCUUGCGGUCGAUACGGGCAUCACUGGAGUUCGGCAGGGGAGACUGGAAUUCCUGGUGUAGCGGUGAAAUGCGUAGAUAUCUGGAGGAACAUCGGUGGCGAAGGCGGCAUCCUGGACCGGUAUUGACGCUGAGGCGCGAAAGCCAGGGGAGCAAACGGG
rnacentral:rRNA from 1 species